rnacentral:rRNA from 1 species
UUUUUUUCUUGAGAGGAGAGGAGGGCAUGCUAGGGGUGGUCCGAGGAGUAUGUGUAGGCGGUAAAGAAGGCUAAACGGCGGCCGCUUCCUGCCGCAGAAACACGGGGUAGUCCUUUGAUUAGGAGUGCGAUAGGGUCUAGGUGUACAGCGAAGAAAAGAGGACUAAAAAGAAGGAACCACCACCGUGUACACCGACCCACUCACACACCUAGAGCCGCUUGAGCAGCUGAGACCGUUGCGCCAGUACCUCUACAGGUCACCCUUGCGCCCGACGCGACGAGUUUGAACAGCACGGGCCUCCGAGAUCUACAACCCCGGCGCCUCCGUAACUCCCUCGAGUGUCUCCUUCUUUAUAGACGUUCUGCACUCAUAGAAGACACUCACAACAACGGGAGGACGACGGGCCUGAAGAUGGUUUAGUGUUUCCCGGUGAAACUCAGCGAACCACUGUAUUACUAAUAUCCUCGUAGUGGACGUUUGGAUGGAAGUUAAAAUCGAGCACCUGACCUUAAGGACCCUUCUAGUACAACGAUUCCUCGAGACAACGUGUGUAUAAGAGGUAACACAACAUUAAGUAACAAAGGAACGUGUGUCACAGGUUCAUAUCUAACGAGAAAGAAGCUCUUUAAGUGCCAAUGCUAUCAGAACGACGUUCAAACCUAGCAUUAUAGGUAAGACGUUUAAGCCGGUGUAAAACGAAAAGAUAACCUAGAAGACUGUCUGAAAUCGGCGUACAAAAGUCAAUCAGAUUUAUAAAGCUUCAUGAAGGUAUCCGGUUUUCACGAAACCGCAGUGAAGAAGGCUCCAGCUAACCUCAUCGACCCGUACCGAAACAGUACGCAACUCACACGAAACCGCACUGAAGCAGCCUGCAUCUCACUUCGCCGACCUCCACCGAAACGCAUAGUUUACAGCUCAACGGGUCAACGCACACUACAGAAGUUCGGUAGACUCAACGGCUCAGCGCACACUACAGAAGUUCGGUAGAACCAACGGCUGUAGUUUUUAAAACCACACACGAAGAUGCCGGCCGACAUGAACAAAUAUAUACCCACCUCCACGCACCCAACUCCACCGGCUCUGGCACUUUCGUCUAGCCUUUGGACAGAAAAAAAGUACAGAACCAAGGACAAAACCUUGAAGGAGUGCACUCCAGACCAAUCCAGGUUAGCAACAGGAAUAAACAAAUCCAAAGGAUGAUAAAAACGAAGGAACUGGGUAACUAAUUUUCUAAAAAAAAAAGACGCCCGAUCAACUGCUAAACCUACCUUGGAUAC